rnacentral:rRNA from 1 species
CCUACGGGGGGCAGCAGUGAGGAAUAUUGGUCAAUGGGCGCGAGCCUGAACCAGCCAAGUAGCGUGAAGGAUGACUGCCCUACGGGUUGUAAACUUCUUUUAUAAAGGAAUAAAGUGAGGCACGUGUGCCUUUUUGUAUGUAUUUUAUGAAUAAGGAUCGGCUAACUCCGUGCCAGCAGCCGCGGUAAUACGGAGGAUCCGAGCGUUAUCCGGAUUUAAUGGGUUUAAAGGGAGCGUAGAUGGGAUGUUAAGUCAGUUGUGAAAGUUUGCGGCUGAACCGUAAAAUUGCAAUGGAUACUGGCAGCCUUGAGUACAGUAGAGGUAGGCGGAAUUCGUGGUGUAGCGGUGAAAUGCUGAGAUAUCACGAAGAACUCCGAUUGCGAAGGCAGCCUACUAAACUGCCACUGACAUUGAUGCUCGAAAGUGUGGGUAUCAAACAGGAUUAGAUACCCUUGUAGUC